AUCUACGACCUACAUUAGGUGACAACUGACAUGACCAUAUCAUUAAAAUAUAAUAUGAUUGUUAAUUUUGUUUUAUAUUAUUAUUUUCAUAAUUACGUUUUUUUUUUUAAAAUGCUAGAGAUCACAAAAUUUUAUACCAAAAAAUACAUACCAAAUGAUGUGGAAUAUGACAUGGAAUUAUUUUUGACUCAUUAAUAAGGAUUUUUUGCACCAACAGUGUCUGAAGACUUAGGUAACUGACUAUAUAGUACCCAAACUUACAAAAUUAUCAAAAUAGUACCCAGACUCGUAUUUUUGUAUCUCUGUAGUAACUAUAUGGUUAACUUCCAUCGUGUUUCCGUCAAUUUAAUCACCUGUGACGUGCAUAACUUAUUAAAAGAGAUGGAAAAGACUGAUUCGCCCUCCAUUUGUUGAAACGUGCUCUCUCUAUCUCUCUCUCUCUCUCUGUUGGUGCAAAAAAAUUCAGAAGAGAGAUUUCCCAACAAAGAUCUCACUCCUUUGAUUCUUGAGGAGCCUUGGACGCAUCCGUAUUACGAUUGAUCAUGAGGAGAAGGUACCUGCAAAACAAAUACACACUCCGACGCCCAAGUCAAUUUCGAUUCAAGCAGGUACAAUAAAAGAAAUCGGUUCGAUACUAUUACCGUUGUUAUCCAUGAUUGUUCCUCUCCAUUCCCCUCCAUUCCUCUCCAUAAGCGUGUGAAUUUAUAGACCUUUUAUUUCUUGGUCCUCACUUCCCGUUGUAGUGGGAGUAGUGGGAGGAGCAUGUUCUCCAUUAACGAUCAUGUUUCACGUUGUUUACCAUGAUAGUGUUCAUCUUGGGCUUUGACCAUCGAUCGGGCCUAAUUAAUUAAAUGGGGGUCCAAGCCGAAAUUUUAUAUCCCCACAAUGCCCCCUUUUUCCUUUCCGUACGAGCUCCGAGUGCAGGAAGGAAAAACACAUAAAAACCAAACAUUAGUAUAUGAGGACAAAUAGGAACUACUACAUGCUUUUAAUAACUCUCGGAAAAUGAUUAGAAUAUCAUAUCAUGUUUCGUGAAUUUUGAAUCAUUUAACGUCCGGGGACGAAUAUCUCAUGAAUUUCGAGUCAUUUACUGUCUCGUGGACUGCGUAUCUUUUAGUGUUUUAAUGCCUCCGUGGAUGUCUCACAAAUCGAAAAUCAUGUCAUAUGCGAUAGCGAAAUAAUUAGCAAAAUCUUUAUAUAAUGCGAUAACUUUAACUUGCCUUCAAAAGAUAUUGCCCCCAAUUGAAGCUUUUGUAGUGCCGAUCUGCUUUUAGCAUUGAAUAGCUGAAAAAUCGAAACCAACACAAAUUUCCACUAAAGAUAUGGGUUAGAGAAAUUGGAAGAUUAGAAGACAGAUGAGACUCAUUCGCUGUUGCCUCCAUUGAUCAUAAACCAUUCAAAUAUUCAAUCAAUUGUCACACAAAGCUGUACAUAGAAAACACCACCCCAGUCUGUAGUAUACCAACAUACAUAUGUAACAGAACAAGUACCUCAUUUACUAAUACUACUUUAUCAUUGAAAGUACUUUAUACAUUGAGUUUACAGGAUCGGUACCUAUAUGCUUUGCAAAAAUUGCAGGUAUUUGAGCAAUUGUAAUGAAAUCAAAUACAUACACAGAUUGUUCUAAACACAUAGAAUCAUUUAUAAACAUCGAUCAUAACCAUAAUCAUGGAUAACAAUAUGCACUUAGUUUUUAAGACCUGGAUCUACAUGCAUAUAUCAUGCUAAUGUUAAAGUGUGUAUGAAACUCACUCAAGUAGCAAUUACUCUUAUCUAUGAUAUCAAUGGCAAUGCUUGAUCUAAACACAUAUACAUGUUAACAUACGACUCUGAUGCAAACGAACAGAUGCUUUGAUCAAGUAAAAGACAAGUCUCGUUAUUUGACUACCUAUUCAAAUUAAUCAACAGAUAUUUGUAGAUUGAUCAAAGAUCAGGCAUAUAGCUAGGAAGCCAUAGAACUUACCAUAAAUAUUUCAAUCUAAAAGAAAAUACAUGAAAGAUCACACAAGACACAAUGCACUGCAUGUAUAAGAGUACCAAUUUUGUUUUCAUACAAAACAAACAAAUCAAUUCAUGCCAUGAGUAAUAAGGUCUAACUUGUCUAAAGGGAGUUGAGAUGCUACAUGAAUUCAUAUAUACCUUCAAGAACUUAAACACCAACCAAUUGAGUUAUUGAAUACGGUUCAAAACUUGCAUAUAGGAGACGCACUCAAUUCAUCAUAACAUAUUAAAAAUAUCAUUCGACUCAACCUGCCAGAUACUAUAAAGAAGAACAAGUCACCAUUAUGAAGGAAACAUGUGUCUUACGU
rnacentral:lncRNA from 1 species